rnacentral:rRNA from 1 species
GGGGAACCAGGACUUUUACUGUGAAAAAAUUAGAGUGCUCCAGGCAGGCCUAUGCUCGAAUACAUUAGCAUGGAAUAAUAGAAUAGGACGUGUGGUUCUAUUUUGUUGGUUUCAAGGACCGCCGUAAUGAUUAAUAGGGACAGUCGGGGGCAUCAGUAUUCAAUUGUCAGAGGUGAAAUUCUUGGAUUUAUUGAAGACUAACUACUGCGAAAGCAUUUGCCAAGGAUGUUUUCAUUAAUCAGGAACAAAAGUUAGGGGAUCGAAGACGAUCAGAUACCGUCGUAGUCUUAACCAUAAACUAUGCCGACUAGGGAUCGGACGGUGUUAUUUUUUGACCCGUUCGGCACCUUACGAGAAAUCAAAGUGCUUGGGCUCCAGGGGGAGUAUGGUCGCAAGGCUGAAACUUAAAGAAAUUGACGGAAGGGCACCACCAGGGGUGGAGCCUGCGGCUUAAUUUGACUCAACACGGGGAAACUCACCAGGUCCAGACACAAUGAGGAUUGACAGAUUGAGAGCUCUUUCUUGAUUUUGUGGGUGGUGGUGCAUGGCCGUUCUUAGUUGGUGGAGUGAUUUGUCUGCUUAAUUGCGAUAACGAACGAGACCU